rnacentral:rRNA from 1 species
UACGGGGGGGGCAAGCGUUGUUCGGAAUUACUGGGCGUAAAGGGUUUGUAGGUGGCUUGUUAAGUCUGACGUGAAAUCCCUCAGCUUAACUGGGGAACUGCGUCUGAUACUGGCGAGCUUGAGUGCAGGAGAGGAACGCGGAAUUCCAGGUGUAGCGGUGAAAUGCGUAGAUAUCUGGAGGAACACCGGUGGCGAAGGCGGCAUCCUGGACCGAAACUGACGCUGAGGAGCGAAAGCCAGGGGAGCAAACGGG